CUUCUCAAACACAGGUGGUCGAUUGCAACUCUAGCCCUAGUUUCUACACAUCGAACCCAUCGUCUGCUCUUCCUACUUUCAACAAAUUGAUUUCUCAUCUCCUUAUAUUCUUCUCUUGUUCAUCAAAGACCCUCAAGGUUCAAUAUGAAACCAUUAAAGACUGAUGAGGUGGGAUCAACUAUGAAGACUACUACCAGAUAUGCAUUCGUCGCGCCAGGUGCUAUACGAAAGGGACAAGGACGAGGAGGGCUUAGAUCUUUGAUUGAGAAAGAGCAUAUGCCAACUAAGAGUUUAUUUCCUCAAUCUAGUGACGUAGUUAAGCAAUACAUCCAAGAAAUUGAAACAAGUGCCACAGGGAAGGGACAAGGACAAAAGCUUAUAAAAUCUACGAUUUCUUCUAGUCAAGGAAUGAAAAUGAUACAUAAAAAUUCCAUGGUUCUUGAGAAAGAAUAUAUGCAAACUGAUAGUCCAUUGCCUCCAUUCACUGAUCAAGUUAAGCAAUACACCCAAAAAGUUGAA